rnacentral:rRNA from 1 species
UACAGAGGGUGCGAGCGUUGUCCGGAAUCACUGGGCGUAAAGGGCGCGUAGGUGGCCUGAUAAGUAGGGGGUGAAAUCUCGAGGCUCAACUUCGAGGCUGCCUUCUAAACUGUCGGGCUUGAGCAGAGUAGAGGCAGGUGGAAUUCCCGGUGUAGCGGUGGAAUGCGUAGAGAUCGGGAAGAACAUCGGUGGCGAAGGCGGCCUGCUGGGCUCUUGCUGACACUGAGGCGCGACAGCGUGGGGGAGCAAACAGG